ensembl:lncRNA LINC01320 long intergenic non-protein coding RNA 1320
CAUGUUACCUGUCAUCUCCGAUGCAUAACUCCUAAAGUGCGUCUGGGGCAGUUGUACAGAUUGCAGAGGAUAAUACUCAAGAUGUUCUCCAAGGCCAACUAGUCAUCAGUUUAUUCAUGUUUCUGGGAUUGGAUUCAUGAACUCAUCCUUUGAACUAUUUCAACAAGCUUUUUCAUGUAACUAAUCUGCGGAAGGUAGAAAGGGGAAAACUGUUGGGUGCUAAAAUGACAACUGGUUCAAGGUACAAUGGCGAAUAUUUUUAUUUCUGCAACUUUUCUUAGAGGUUGGAAACUGGACUGGGCAGGAAGAUUCCUUUUUGUAAGAUUAGUCUCCAGUUUUCAUCAAGCAGUUUAGUGGGGUAUUUUAGGCCCAGUUCCCUCUCCACAGUCCCCAAAGGUCUUCUGUUAACUUUAAAUCCGCAAAGAGAGAGAUCUCUGCCAAGCAGCAACUGCAAGAGCAUGUGGGUCAAUGUUACCAGCAGACACUCAAAGCCCAUUCCCUUUACUUCAACACCGCUUUAUAAAUUAUCUUAGAGACGUUGUCAGGUUGGUAUUAGAGGUGAGUGGUCAUGACUUCACGAUUUCUCAUCUUUCUGAAUGCAUAGUGGCUGGGAGUGGUGGCUCAUGCCUGUAAUCCCAGCAGUUUGGGAGGCCGAGGUGGGCAGAUUGUUUGACCACAGGAGUUCGAGACCAGCCGGGGUAACAUGGCAAGACCCCAAUCUCUACCAAAAAAAAAAAAAAAAAAUACAAAAAUUGUCUGGGUGUGGUGUGCAUGCCUGUAGUCCCAAGUCCCAGCUACUCUACUUGGGAGGCUGAGGCAGAAGGAUCACCUGAGCCCAGGAAGGCCAAGGCUGCAGUGAGCCCUGAUGGUGCCACUGCACUUGACCUUGGGCAACAGAAUGAGAAUGAGACCCUGUCAAAAAAAAAAAAAAAAAAAAAAAGAAAAAAAAAAAGAAAGAAAAAGAGAGAAAGAGAGAGAAAGAAAGAAAGAAAAGAAUGCAUAGUGAGAUUUUACAGUAAAACUCUUUCUUAGAGGCUAAAAACUCUGGGGAUCUCACGAUGUGGGUACAUUUCUAGAGAUAAUAUUUUAGAUCUCUAUAGAUAUUAUUUUAAUACAUCUUUUUCUUUUUGGUUUGACUGUGUAUCAUAUGGCUUUUCUUCUUGGAAGUUAUCAAACUUCUCCCUAACUAAGGUCCUUGCAUAUGCUGACCUGUUUGACAUACUCCCACUCUGGUCUACUCAUUCUUCAGGUAUCAUUUUCAUUCCUGUCACUACCCCUUAACCCAACCCAGACAAGGUUAUUGUGCACUGAAUCAUUUCAAAAUGCCACUUUAAAAAUGAGUAAAUAUUUAUGUAAUUAUGUGUUGAAUAUACCUCCUCUUUACAAGCAUAUAAGUCUAUGAUACAAGUCUAUGCUUGUCUCUUCUAAUUCUGGUACAUCAUGUGAUAUGAGAACCAUGGUAGGCAAUCAAUAAUGCAGAGACGAAAUGUUUUUAUCUUAGAGAGACUCUCACAGAAGUUUCUAGUUUAGAGAUGCUUCACUGAAGUUUAUGGCCUCAACUUCCUUGGGUCUUGAUUACUAUCAGUGGAUGCAGUGAUGGAGGGUAGGUAAAAUCCAAUGUUAUCUACAAGUUCUAGACUACAGCCAACAAACUUUUUCCAAAAUAGGCCAGAUAAUAAAUAUAUUAGGUUUUUUGGGCCAUGAAGUCUCUGCUGCAACUACUCAGCUCCACAUUUGUAGUGGAAAAGCAGUUAUAGAUGAAACAUAAAAUGAAUUAGUGUGGCUGUGUUCAAAAAAAGCUAUUUUCAAAAACAGCCAGUGGGAAAGCUUUGGUCCUUGAGCCAUAGUUUGCAAAAUUUUGUUCUAAACAG